rnacentral:rRNA from 1 species
UACGUAGGGUGCGAGCGUUAAUCGGAAUUACUGGGCGUAAAGCGUGCGCAGGCGGUGAUGUAAGACAGUUGUGAAAUCCCCGGGCUCAACCUGGGACCUGCAUUUGUGACUGCAUCGCUAGAGUACGGCAGAGGGGGAUGGAAUUCCGCGUGUAGCAGUGAAAUGCGUAGAUAUGCGGAGGAACACCGAUGGCGAAGGCAAUCCCCUGGGCCUGUACUGACGCUCAUGCACGAAAGCGUGGGGAGCAAACAGG